UACGGGGGGAGCAAGCGUUGUUCGGAUUUACUGGGCGUAAAGGGUGCGUAGGUGGCGCGAUAAGUCGGGUGUGAAAUCUCGGAGCUUAACUCCGAAAUUGCAUUCGAUACUGCCGUGCUCGAGGACUGGAGAGGAGACUGGAAUUCAUGGUGUAGCAGUGAAAUGCGUAGAGAUCAUGAGGAAGACCAGUGGCGAAGGCGGGUCUCUGGACAGUUCCUGACACUGAGGCACGAAGGCCAGGGGAGCAAACGGG
rnacentral:rRNA from 1 species